CCCUUAGAUGUUCUGGGCCGCACGCGCGCUACACUGACGAAGUCAGCGAGCAUCUCCUUCGCCGAAAGGUGCGGGGAAUCUUGUGAAACUUUGUCGUGCUGGGGAUUGAUUUUUGAAAUUCUUGAUCAUCAACGAGGAAUUCCUAGUAAGCGCAAGUCAGCAGCUUGCGUUGAUUACGUCCCUGCCCUUUGUACACACCGCCCGUCGCACCUACCGAUUGAAUGGUCCGGUGAAAUCUUCGGAUUGAGACUUUGAUUUCUUCACGGAAAACGCUGUUUUAAAAAGUUGAUUAAACCUUACCAUUUAGAGGAAGGUGAAGUCGUAACA
rnacentral:rRNA from 1 species